AUAAGUAAGACCCCUUAGAGAGUAUGAGGUAGAUAGGUCUGAGGUGGAAGUGCAGUAAUGUAUGAAGCUGACAGAUACUAAUCGGUCGAGGGCUUAUCCUG
rnacentral:rRNA from 1 species